UACGGGGGGGGCAAGCGUUGUUCGGAAUUACUGGGCGUAAAGCGCGCGUAGGCGGCUUUUCAAGUCGAGUGUGAAAGCCCCAGGCUCAACCUGGGAACUGCGCUCGAUACUGUUGAGCUAGAGUGUGGAAGGGGCUACUGGAAUUCCGUGUGUAGCGGUGAAAUGCGCAGAUAUCAGGAGGAACACCGGUGGCGAAGGCGGAUCUCUGGGCCUUACCUGACGCUCAGGUGCGAAAGCUAGGGGAGCGAACAGG
rnacentral:rRNA from 1 species